UGGGGAAUAUUGGACAAUGGGGGAAACCCUGAUCCAGCGACGCCGCGUGAGUGAAGAAGUAUUUCGGUAUGUAAAGCUCUAUCAGCAAGGAAGAAAAUGACGGUACUUGACUAAGAAGCCCCGGCUAACUACGUGCCAGCAGCCGCGGUAAUACGUAGGGGGCAAGCGUUAUCCGGAUUUACUGGGUGUAAAGGGAGCGUAGACGGCAAAGCAAGUCUGAAGUGAAAGCCCCGGGCUCAACCCGGGAACUGCUUUGGAAACUGUUUAGCUAGAGUGCAGGAGAGGUAAGUGGAAUUCCUAGUGUAGCGGUGAAAUGCGUAGAUAUUAGGAGGAACACCAGUGGCGAAGGCGGCUUACUGGACUGUAACUGACGUUGAGGCUCGAAAGCGUGGGGAGCAAACAGG
rnacentral:rRNA from 1 species